rnacentral:rRNA from 1 species
GAUGGACACCGUAGAGUGCACUGGAUGGCUUGGGACCAAAUGGUCAAACCAAAAAGAGGAGGGGGCAUCGGUUUCCGAGACAUGAAAAUUUUCAACCAAGCUCUCCUUGCUAGACAGGGGUGGAGAUUGAUCCAAUGACCAGAUAGCCUUUGUGCCUGGGUGUUGAAAUCAAAAUACUACCCAAAUGGGGAGCUCCUGGAUACAGUUUUUGCGGUGGAUGCUUCCCCAGUUUGGCGCAGUAUUGAACAUGGUCUUGAAUUAUUAAAGGAAUGUCUUAUUUGGAGAGUGGAUAAUGGAAGGAGGAUCCAAAUCCAAAGGGAUCAAUGGAUGCCCAGGAAAGAGGGUUUGAAGAUGACAAGCUUCAUCACAAGAUCAAGAUUGAGAUGGGCUAAUCAAUUGAUGUUGGGGAUGAGAGAAUGUGAAUGUCCCCCCUGA